ACGAUUGACGGAGCGAAGCGACGUCAAAGCGUUCAUUAAAGUCGAGUUGGCUUAGGGAUACGUUCGUUGGGUAGGGGAGCGUUCUGUAAGCCUGCGAAGGUGGCCUGUGAGGGUUGCUGGAGGUAUCAGAAGUGCGAAUGCUGACAUAAGUAACGAUAAAGCGGGUGAAAAGCCCGCUCGCCGGAAGACCAAGGGUUCCUGUCCAACGUUAAUCGGGGCAGGGUGAGUCGACCCCUAAGGCGAGGCCGAAAGGCGUAGUCGAUGGGAAACGGGUUAAUAUUCCCGUACUUGGUGUUACUGCGAAGGGGGGACGGAGAAGGCUAUGUUGGCCGGGCGACGGUUGUCCCGGUUUAAGCGUGUAGGUGUGUGUUCCAGGUAAAUCCGGUUCACUUUAACACUGAGGCGUGACGACGAGGCACUACGGUGCUGAAGCAACAAAUGCCCUGCUUCCAGGAAAAGCCUCUAAGCAUCAGGUAACAUCAAAUCGUACCCCAAACCGACACAGGUGGUCAGGUAGAGAAUACCAAGGCGCUUGAGAGAACUCGGGUGAAGGAACUAGGCAAAAUGGUGCCGUAACUUCGGGAGAAGGCACGCUGACACGUAGGUGAAGUGAUUUACUCAUGGAGCUGAAGUCAGUCGAAGAUACCAGCUGGCUGCAACUGUUUAUUAAAAACACAGCACUGUGCAAACACGAAAGUGGACGUAUACGGUGUGACGCCUGCCCGGUGCCGGAAGGUUAAUUGAUGGGGUCAGCGCAAGCGAAGCUCCUGAUCGAAGCCCCGGUAAACGGCGGCCGUAACUAUAACGGUCCUAAGGUAGCGAAAUUCCUUGUCGGGUAAGUUCCGACCUGCACGAAUGGCGUAAUGAUGGCCAGGCUGUCUCCACCCGAGACUCAGUGAAAUUGAACUCGCUGUGAAGAUGCAGUGUACCCGCGGCAAGACGGAAAGACCCCGUGAACCUUUACUAUAGCUUGACACUGAACAUUGAGCCUUGAUGUGUAGGAUAGGUGGGAGGCUUUGAAGUGUGGACGCCAGUCUGCAUGGAGCCGACCUUGAAAUACCACCCUUUAAUGUUUGAUGUUCUAACGUGGACCCGU
rnacentral:rRNA from 1 species